CCCGAAACCAGGUGAGCUACCCCGAGACAGCCUAUAUUAAUUUAGGGCUAACCCGUCUCUGUGGCAAAAGAGUGGGAAGAGCUCCGGGUAGAAGUGAAAGACCUACCGAACCUGGUGAUAGCUGGUUGACUGAGAAAUGGAUAGAAGUUCAGCCUCGCACACCCCAAACCAAAAAGUAUUAUCAACAAGAUAUUAAGGGAAACGUGCGAGAGUUAGUUGAAAGGGGUACAGCCCUUUUAACAAAGGAUACAACCUUUACAGGAGGAUAAAGAUCAUAAUGUAUAAGAUAUACUGUUCUAGUGGGCCUGAAAGCAGCCACCUAAACAGAAAGCGUUAAAGCUCGGACAGAAAGAAGUUUAUUAUACUGAUAAAAAAUCUUAUUCCCCUAGCUAUAUCAGACCAACCCAUGCCUCCAUGGAAGAGAUUAUGCUAAAAUGAGUAAUAAGAAGACCAGCUCUUCUCCCAGCACAAGUGUAAACCAGAUCGGACUAACCACUGGAACUUAACGAACCCAACCCCAGAGGGUAGUGUGAUUAACAAAAAACUCAAGAAGACCUCACAUUGAUUGAUCGUUAACCCCACACUGGAGUGCUAUUUUAAGGGAAAGACUAAAAGAAGGGGAAGGAACUCGGCAAACACAAGCCUCGCCUGUUUACCAAAAACAUCGCCUCCUGCAACUAGACUGAGUAUAGGAGGUCCAGCCUGCCCAGUGACUACGGGUUCAACGGCCGCGGUAUCUUGACCGUGCAAAGGUAGCGCAAUCACUUGUCUCUUAAAUAGAGACCUGUAUGAAUGGCUAGACGAGGGCUUAACUGUCUCCCCCCUCCAGUCAGUGAAAUUGAUCUAUCCGUGCAGAAGCGGGUAUAAAUAUACAAGACGAGAAGACCCUUUGGAGCUUAAGGUACAAAAUUCAGCCACGUUAAACAACUCCAUAAGAAGCAAGAACUUAGUGAUAAUGAAAUUUUACCUUCGGUUGGGGCGACCGCGGAGGAAAAACAAGCCUCCGAGUGGACUGGGCCAAAUCCCUGAAGCCAAUAGAGACAUCUAUAAGCCGCAGAACAUCUGACCAAAAAUGAUCCGGCUAAAAGCCGAUCAACGAACCAAGUUACCCAAGGGAUAACAGCGCAAUCCCCUCCCAGAGCCCAUAUCUACGAGGGGGUUUACGACCUCGAUGUUGGAUCAGGACAUCCUAAUGGUGC
rnacentral:rRNA from 1 species